UCCCGUUGAUCCUGCGGGAGGUCGCUGCUAUUGGGAUUCGAUUAAGCCAUGCAAGUCAGCUUGUUCCGCAAGGGACUGGCGGCAGACUGCUGAGUAACACGUCGAUAAUCUGCCCUUAGGUCUAGGAAAACUCCGGGAAACUGAAGCUAAACCCAGAUAUGGAAGGAUGCUGGAACGCACCUUCCUUCAAAAGCAAUGCCUAAGGAUGAGUCGGCGGCUGAUUAGGUAGUUGGUGGUGUAAAGGACCACCAAGCCGAAGAUCAGUAGGGGCCAUGAGAGUGGGAGCCCCCAGAAGGGCACUGAGGUACUGGCCCUAGCCCCACGGGGUGCAGCAGGCGCGAAAAUUUUGCACUGUACGCAAGUACGACAAAGGAAUCCUGAGUGCUCAUGGUUUACCAUGGGCUUUUGCCAAGGGUAAAUACCUUGGCGAAUAAGUGGUGGGUAAGACGGGUGCCAGCAGCCGCGGUAACCCCCGCGCCACAAGUGGUGACCACUUUUAUUUGGUCUAAAGCGUCCGUAGCUGGUCUGAUAAAUCUCUUGUGAAAUCGUAGGGCUUAACUCUACGGCGGGCAGGAGACACUGUUGGACUUGGAACCGGGAGGGGUAUGGGGUAUUUCUGGGGGAGCGGUAAAAUGCAAUAAUCCCAGGAAGACCACCUGUGGCGAAGGCGCCAUACCAGAACGGAUUCGACAGUCAGGGACGAAAGCUAGGGGAGCGAUCCGGAUUAGAUACCCGAGUAGUCCUAGCUGUAAACGCUGUGAACUAGGUGUCGCAUAUUCUUUGUGAAUGUGCGGUGUCGACGCGAAGGCAUUAAGUUCACCACCUGGGAAGUACGGUCGCAAGACUGAAACUUAAAGGAAUUGGCGGGGGAGCACUACAAGGGGUGCGGCGUGCGGUUUAAUCUAACUCAACGCAGAGCAUCUUACCAGGGUCGACGGCAGGAUGAAAGUCAGAUUGAAGGUCUUACUUGACGAGCCGAGAGGUAGUGCAUGGCCGGCGUCAGCUCGUGCCGUAAGGUGUCCUGCUAAGUCAGGCAACGAGCGAGACCUGUAUCCACAGUUGCUAACUGGUUCAUCAGAAUGACAGAGCACACUGUGGGGACUGCUCCUGAAAAGGAGAGGAAGGUGCAGGCUACGCUAGGUCUGUAUGCUCCGAAUACUCUGGGCUACACGCGCGCAACAAUGGAAGGAACAAUGGGAUGCAACUCCGAAAGGAGAAGCUAAUCCUCUAAAUCCUUUCCCAGUUCAAAUUGUGGGUUGUAAUUCACCCACAUGACGUUGGAAUCCCUAGUAAUCGGGCUUCAUCACAGCCCGGUGAAUAUGUCCCUGCUCCUUGCACACACCGCCCGUCAAGCCAACCGAGCCAGCUUUCGGUGAGGUGCAGCUUAUGGCUGCCUCGAAUCGAAGGUUAGUGAGGUGGGCUAAGUCGUCACAAGGUA
rnacentral:rRNA from 1 species